rnacentral:rRNA from 1 species
GAUGAACGCUGGCGGCGUGCCUAAUACAUGCAAGUCGAGCGAACAGAUGAGGAGCUUGCUCCUCUGACGUUAGCGGCGGACGGGUGAGUAACACGUGGAUAACCUACCUAUAAGACUGGGAUAACUUCGGGAAACCGGAGCUAAUACCGUAUAAUAUAUUGAACCGCAUGGUUCAAUAGUGAAAGACGGUUUUGCUGUCACUUAUAGAUGGAUCCGCGCCGCAUUAGCUAGUUGGUAAGGUAACGGCUUACCAAGGCAACGAUGCGUAGCCGACCUGAGAGGGUGAUCGGCCACACUGGAACUGAGACACGGUCCAGACGCCUAAGGGAGGCGGCAGUAGGGAAUCUUCCGCAAUGGGCGAAAGCCUGACGGAGCAACGCCGCGUGAGUGAUGAAGGUCUUCGGAUCGUAAAACUCUGUUAUUAGGGAAGAACAAAUGUGUAAGUAACUAUGCACGUCUUGACGGUACCUAAUCAGAAAGCCACGGCUAACUACGUG